GGCCACCUGCGGCGCCGACAAGGGGCGAGGGGGCUAGCACAUAGGUCGGGGCGACCCGACCGUCUGUAAACGGAAGACAGAAA
rfam:Citreicella sp. 357 C357_059, whole genome shotgun sequence.